rnacentral:lncRNA from 1 species
CUCUAUGCCCUCAGGAUCCAGCAUGGCACAUAGAGGGAAGCCCUGAGGAGAGCAGAAGACAGGCAGAUGGGCUUCAAACAGCCCAAGACCAGUUCCAAAGCUGACAGGUGAACUGCAUUGAAAGUAUGCUGUCAUCACGUGGCAGUACCACUGUCCCCGAGAAGCAGAAGGGCCUGGAUGGAGUGAUACAGGCUGAUGGUUAUCUGGCUUCAGAACUUGGGUGGCCAAGGCUCACUGCUGUCACAAUAUGAACGUCAUUUUCACAUCCUAUAACAAAACCACCAGCAGUAAAGGUAGGCUAGGAGUCAGUCUCAGGAGAAUACAAGUUAGCUAUAAUCAAAUGCUGUGAAGAAACCUGACUAAUCACUGUACUGUACUCUAUGGUUACCUAUGUGAAAGACUCCAAAAAUGACUAGUUAUUGCUGAGAAAAAUAAAACAGUUAAAAUUA